AUAUUUUAAAUCAACCUUGGGCCUACGAGCGAUGUCGUCAUUGGAGAAUAGGAGCUCAAGUCGUAAAGGGUAUAAAAUGAGAUGUUUACACUCCACACAACAAUCACCACUCUCCACCGCCUCAGUCCUUACUCCCAAGACUGAAUUGGUCUCAUCUCGCUCUCAAAAGCGAAACAAAAGAACUCCCAUCUCCGCCACUCUACGAUCUAGUGCCUAGGAAGGACCUACACAGCGCGUGGGCUGAAGAUUUGUGAAAGCGGGGACAAAGCCGUAGCGGUGGAUGAACAUGCGUUUGACAGAGGAUAUUGGCUGCAAGCAAUGGCACUGAGGCAAAAAGUCCAAGGCUUUGCACGACAUAAUCUUCAUUCCCGAUGUGAAACCACAAUGCCAAACAAUCGGGAGGUAGACAAAGAUGCAAUUUUUUCUGGGGAUGAUUUGGAACUGGUUUUGCCAAUGACUAAGUUGAACCCGCUGGAUACACACAAAGCUAAGGUCCUAGCAGCACAGGCAAUGGUCCACCAGGUUUUUCAGGAUGACAAGGGUACAAUGGCUUCGGAGGUUGAUCCCUACACUCAAGGGGAUAACAGCUCAUCUGAUUUGAAAGUAAGACCACCUAAUUCAAAUUCAAACCUUGUAACUGACUCAGAGAAGUGUAUCAAUAAAGAUAAGAGGGGAAUUUUUGGAUAAGUUAACUUUACAAGAGAGUUGUGAUACGGGUAGAGAUAAUGAUAAGACUUUUGUAGUGGAUUGGGGUCGGUCCAUAACUUUACAAAAUUUGGAACUAGCUGAUGGGAAUUGGAUUGCCUCAUCAAAAGUAACUAAUAUAGAAGAUGAAAAUUGUGAGA